AUUGAACGCUGGCGGCAGGCUUAACACAUGCAAGUCGAGCGGGGAAAGGUAGCUUGCUACCUGACCUAGCGGCGGACGGGUGAGUAAUGCUUAGGAAUCUGCCUAUUAGUGGGGGACAACACCUCGAAAGGGAUGCUAAUACCGCAUACGUCCUACGGGAGAAAGCAGGGGACCUUCGGGCCUUGCGCUAAUAGAUGAGCCUAAGUCGGAUUAGCUAGUUGGUGGGGUAAAGGCCUACCAAGGCGACGAUCUGUAGCGGGUCUGAGAGGAUGAUCCGCCACACUGGGACUGAGACACGGCCCAGACUCCUACGGGAGGCAGCAGUGGGGAAUAUUGGACAAUGGGGGGAACCCUGAUCCAGCCAUGCCGCGUGUGUGAAGAAGGCCUUUUGGUUGUAAAGCACUUUAAGCGAGGAGGAGGCUACCGAGAUUAAUACUCUUGGAUAGUGGACGUUACUCGCAGAAUAAGCACCGGCUAACUCUGUG
rnacentral:rRNA from 1 species